GACGAGGUGGCUGAGUGGUGAAGGCGAUGGAUUAGAAAUCCAUUGUGCUCUGCAUGUGCGGGGUUCAAAUCCCACCCUCGUCG